CCUGAAUUACUCCAUGCUCGCGUGAAUUGAAGGAAGCCUUCGGGUUGUAAAGCCCUUUUGUUGGGAAAGAAAUCCAGCCGGCUAAUACCUGGUUGGGAUGACGGUACCCAAAGAAUAAGCACCGGCUAACUUCGUGCCAGCAGCCGCGGUAAUACGAAGGGUGCAAGCGUUACUCGGAAUUACUGGGCGUAAAGCGUGCGUAGGUGGUUGUUUAAGUCUGUUGUGAAAGCCCUGGGCUCAACCUGGGAACUGCAGUGGAAACUGGACAACUAGAGUGUGGUAGAGGGUAGCGGAAUUCCCGGUGUAGCAGUGAAAUGCGUAGAGAUCGGGAGGAACAUCCAUGGCGAAGGCAGCUACCUGGACCAACACUGACACUGAGGCACGAAAGCGUGGGGAGCAAACAGGAUUAGAUACCCUGGUAGUCCACGCCCUAAACGAUGCGAACUGGAUGUUGGGUGCAAUUUGGCACGCAGUAUCGAAGCUAACGCGUUAAGUUCGCCGCCUGGGGAGUACGGUCGCAAGACUGAAACUC
rnacentral:rRNA from 1 species